rnacentral:rRNA from 1 species
GAUGAACGCUGGCGGCGUGCUUAACACAUGCAAGUCGAACGGUGAAGCCAAGCUUGCUUGGUGGAUCAGUGGCGAACGGGUGAGUAACACGUGAGCAACCUGCCCUGGACUCUGGGAUAAGCGCUGGAAACGGCGUCGAAUACUGGAUAUGAGCCUUCAUCGCAUGGUGGGGGGUGGAAAGAUUUUUUGGUCUGGGGUGGGCUCGCGGCCUAUCAGCUUGUUGGUGAGGUAAUGGCUCACCAAGGCGUCGACGGGUAGCCGGCCUGAGAGGGGGACCGGCCAACAUGGGCCUGAGACACGGCCCAGACUCCUACGGGAGGAAGCAGUGGGGAAUAUUGCACAAUGGGCGAAAGCCUGAUGCAGCAACGCCGCGUGAGGGAUGACGGCCUUCGGGUUGUAAACCUCUUUUAGCAGGGAAGAAGCGAAAGUGACGGUACCUGCAGAAAAAGCGCCGGCUAACUACGUGCCAGCCGCCGCCGUAA